UCCCAUGGACACAGAUGCAUUUUCCAAAC
rnacentral:piRNA from 1 species